GGGCAGUUGGCUCAGUGGUUAGAGCGUCGGUUUCACAUACCGAAGGUCACAGGUUCAAAUCCUGUACUGCCCA
rnacentral:tRNA from 1 species